UACGUAGGGGGCAAGCGUUGUCCGGAUUUAUUGGGCGUAAAGCGCUCGCAGGUGGUCCGAUGCGUCGUGCGUGAAAGACCCCGGCUCAACUGGGGAGGGUCGUGCGAUACGGGCAGACUAGAGUACUGCAGGGGAGACUGGAAUUCCUGGUGUAGCGGUGGAAUGCGCAGAUAUCAGGAGGAACACCGGUGGCGAAGGCGGGUCUCUGGGCAGUAACUGACGCUGAGGAGCGAAAGCGUGGGGAGCGAACAGG
rnacentral:rRNA from 1 species